rnacentral:lncRNA from 8 species
CAGGAGCUGAGUACUGGCACCUCACAUGUUUUACUACUGGAGCUCAUGUUCCUCUUAUGGAUUAUAAGCUCAAAAGUAUUGUGGAGCUCCUGCACCUAAAUAUAAACAGUAUCGGCACCUGUUCUAGUCCAAGUCAAGCACUGGAAGAGAUUCAUAAAAUGGGGUAAGGGGUGACUUUUGAUGUGUGCUUGUUUUUUCAGAAUGCACUAAAAUGACUGAAAUGACUGAAUCAGCAUGGAAGUAAAACUGUCGUUUCCCGAGACAUCCCAGGAACUGUUUUUCAAACUGAAACCACACCUUUGGUAAUCAUCAAUUUAAGACCAGGUGUGUCUGGCUUGCACUUUUAAUCAGUUUGUUGUGAGGCAAGUCAAGUUGAUCUAUUGUUCUGGUGGUGAGCAGGUCAUUUCUUACAUUUGUGUGCUCUGUAUUGCAGUUAUUUUCUUAUUCAGGGUAAUUACAGUUAAUCGGUGGUGUCACCAUUUGUAAGAUGCACUUAUUUUUCAAUGGAAUUAUUUAAUGACCUGAAUUCACUUAAUCACCUUGUUGGUACUGAUGGGCAAACAAAGCUUCCUGAAGUUUUGAGGCUUUCCAUCCAAUUGUGUUAUACUGUAGGUUCAUUACUCAAGGCUUUGAUCAACAAAGUGUACACUAGUGGCACAUUUAUAGUUGUCCCACCCCAUAGGGAAGUGUAGCCUUUUUGUCUUCUACCAAAACCAAUACAGAACCAAUCGGGUUGUUUGAUGACACAAAGCUUCAGACGUCAUUGAUCAUGUGCUUCUGAUUGUGAUACAGGCAUCAGCACACUGCUUUGAGGUAAACUGCUUAGCGAUUUCGACACAUCUCAGCGCUCCGUGACAUCACUAAUUGUUGGACUGUUCAUAGAUUUUUAUGCAUUUCCUUUUACUUUCUGUUUCUUUCCUUAGUUUAGGUAUGGCAGCAACACAAUUUGAAAAUGGACCACAUGUGACAGCAAGGCACAUUGGGCCACACCAGCCAGUUCCUCAGCCCAACCCUGGCACAUGGCACCCAGUGUGUGGACCUGAAGGAUCAGGGCCCCAUCUGACCGAUCAUCAGCCCCAUCCUCAUGUGCACCAGUCUCGACCCUACUUCUAUGUGCAGCCCCCUCCUCCUCUCCCCUUUUACCACUACCAGUGGCCCAUGCCCUACAACCCCUGCUCUGGAAUUCCAGGUUACGGUAUGCCGGGAAUGGUUAUGCCACCUUUCCUUCCCCACCCAUACAUGGAGGUUCCAGGUUAUGUUCUUCCUCAUUCCCAGCUGCACCCUGCAGAAUACAGACGAUACCAAUUCCCUCCUGCUGCCAUGGCCUACCAGAACAACAGCAGGAUGUCCAGAAUGUUUUACCACAAUGCCACACCCAUAGAGAUGGUUAACUCUGAAGUACAGACUGAACCACCACCUGAAGCGGUGAAGGACGGUCCCCCCUUGGCUAGACCACUGGCUAGGUCAGACUUUGGAAGAGGCACCAACUCUACCACCCCGUCAUCUCUAAGCUCCAAUGCAGAGAAACAGAGCUGCCCAGAAGAAGAACCUAAUUCGCCCAUUGCCUCCAAAACUGGAUUCCAGGGGAUGGUGAGGAGCCAGGGUACUGGCAAAGACCCACCUGCAGGAACAAAGACCAUUCACUCACGUAGCAUCUCUAUAGAGUGGAUGACACAGAAUGGACUGAUGGCGCCAGAAGAUGUGGCACAAGAGUUGUCUGAAAAAGUGUCAGAUGAUCAUCCUAAUCAAAGCCAGAUGUCCUUUUAUAGUCAGGGACCGAAAAAGUUGAAUGAGUCCGUAUGGUCAGUGCAGUCUUUGGCCCCGUAUGUCCCCUCCAAAGAGUUUCUUAUGGAAAACGGCAUUGUGUUGACUGAGAAAGAAGCAGAUCCUCCCAACGUCAGUCAAGACCUCGCAGCCAGUCAGGUCAUAGCUAUAACAGAGAGGAGGAGAAGUCUGAGGUUUUCGCUGACUUUAGAAAAUGUGAAAGAGGCUGAGAAAAUGGCUGAUGUGAAUACUUCUUCAUGCCAAGAGUCCUUCCAUUAUAGCCAAAUACAGCAAAAGGCUAAUGUGUCUGAUUGGUCAGUGCAGUCUUUGGCGCCGUAUGUCCCCUCCACAGAGUGGCUGAUACAGAAUGGGCUUUUGGAUCAUGAAGUGUCGACUGCGAAAGUAUCAGAUGCGAAUGUCAGUCGAGGCCACACAGCUAGUCAGCUGUUGGCUAUAACCGAGAUAAGUCAAAGGUUGUCCCUGUCAUCGAUAGACACACUUCCCCCUUAUGUUCCCUCUUCCUGUUUGCUGGCCGACAUGGAAAAAAUGUACUACAGAAAGCUCCAACUAGGCACUGCAGAGCAUAAGCAAGUUUUCAGCACACCAAUGGAUAAAUUCAUUCCAUCAAAGAGGCUGAACUCUGAAGCUCUUCCCAGGAGGAAAAGGCAGCUCAAACUUAGCCACAACCUACACAUGGAGCUUGUGGAAAAAGCCAAUGUGUAUGGUUCUCCUACAAACCAAAGUGCAAUGAUCCCAAGUGUUGAAGGACCAUUGAAUAGCACUCAAGGGUCAGUGAAACCCAAGGCUCAACAUAGCCCAAAAAAGAAGGCUCUGGAAGUUACAGAGCCCAGGGUUCUGAGCCCUCCCUGCUCUCCAGAUGACCCUGAAACAUAUUCCUCCAAAUGCCUAGCAGGAGACAAAGUGCCUGGCUGCAGUUGUACAGGUCGCUGCAACCAGGAAAUGGAGGCGGCGGUGAUGGAACCUGCCAAACAGACUGUGCCUAUUGUACCCAGUCGACAGGACUGCGAGCAGAUUGCAGAUGUUAGGAUGCCAACGGCUCCCUCAUCAAAUGGACACUUUAAGACGUGUGGUCUGAUGUGUUCAAAGCUACAGGAGAGGAACUGCUCCUGUGAGGCACCGAAGCCAAACGGAGUGAGUUUCAGGAAGCGCCCCACAGGCAGACUGAAUAAGAGAAAUGUGGCCAAGAUGGCCGCCGAUCUCACCAAGCCUCAGGCGCAGCAGCAUCUCAUUCCACAGAAUCAGAAAAGACAGAUGGAUUCCAGGAGAGCAAACAAGACCAUGCCUGAUCAUGUAACUUGUGAUAAUGGAUAUGGGCUGAACAACUCAAAGAAACGGGGACGAUGGCAAAAUAGACCACAGGACAGAGCACAGACUAACCCAUCAAACAAGCCUUUUGGACAGCAGAACGCCCAGAGGAAUUGUGACGACGAACCCUGGACUGGGUAUUAUGGCAGAUCUGGUAAAACAAGAGGCAAGGAUAACAACCUUGAUGGUUUAUGGUUUAGACUGAUACGGAGGCGUUCUAUGAACGGCCAGUCACACCAUUCUGUCUGUUCCAGAAAGUAAGGUUAAAUUGUCAAUCAGCAGUUGAAACAAUAACAGUGUUUUCCCUGCCCCCGUUUCUGUGAAAGCUGAGGUAUGAGGCUGGAGAAUGUACCUCCUCAAAUUCAUUGACCGAAUUAUGAAUGCAAGGACUGACAAUCUGAUGUCAUUAGUUUUAAACAUGUUUUGAGACUACACAUUGUUUCCAUUUACUUUUACAAACAUUGGAGUAUAACAAGCUAAUAGUUUUUGGUUCUGAUGGGGUACAUCAGUCCUCAUGAGGCAUGUACAAGUUAUAUUUUUCCAGAAUCAAUAGGUACAUAUAUAAUUAAUUUAAGUCCAAAAAUGUAUGUAGCAACUGUAGAUUGCCCCUUUUAAAGGGGAAAUUGUUAAUUGCCAAAUUCAUUUUUGGACAUACAUGUAAUUCAUUUGUAUCUAUUGAUUGUACCCUGUUCAGAACCAAAAAUAUAAGGUUGUUUUACUCCAAUGUUUGUAAAAGUAAAAAGAAACAAACACUGUAUAGUCUCAAAACAUGGUUAAAACUAAUAUUGAUAUCAUGGAUUGUCAGUGCUUGCAUCAAUAGCUCUGUACGAACUUAAGUUGUUACAUUUCUUCAGCCCCAUCCCUCAGCUUUUUACCUACAGAGGCCGGGUUAGCGUCAAUUAACAUUCCAAGAUGAAGCCAUAUGCUGAAGUUAUUUUUUUUAAAUUGUUUUUUAUUAACGCUGUGUUUUCGCUACAGGAGCAAAUGGAAGAAACCCAAGGUACUGACUGACCAGAGACUGUCAACAAAUGACAAUGAAGACAUUUUUAAUAACCCUAUUUAUAGGCCUACAUAAUAAACGUUUUUAUUUUUCAAAUGAACUCCUUGUAUUUUGAAGUGGUGGAGGAAUGUGAAAUUAAAAGUAGAACACGUUAAUGAAAUGGGGCUUAUGGUCAGUAAGGGAAUUUGGAAUUGUCAUGACUGCUCAACUCUAAAGAAUUCACAAAAGCAAGAUUUAUUCACUAUCGAUUGCAAAAGGCACAGCAGAUUCAUUGUCAAGGAGUCCCAAGUGAAGGAUGAAUUUAAAUAUUCCUAUAAAGGUUAACUAAAAAGUAGCCUACCCAACACUCCUACUGAUAGGGCUGUGACAUUGCCUACCCACCGUGUGGUAGGUAAGCGUGGCUAACUUCAGACAGGACAAUGUUUUGACUGCACACAGGAGAUCGAGGGUCUAUGUUUAACUUGAGCAAAACAAGCAGGCUACUACAAGAAUCAGCACUGCUGGAAAAUGCGAGACAGCAUUCGAUCCCAG